AAUUGUGGUAAGAAAAGAGGGAAAAAAGGCCACUAUAAAUCGCCUUCCGGUGUUUCAUGCAACGACAGUAGCUCAGCGGUUUAGCUAUCGAUCGCUUAGAGGGUCUACGAUGCACUGCUCCUUUCUUGUUUCGAUCCAAUUCUUUCCCUUUGUCUUCCGCUUUGACAUGCCAGAUCUUCCGGUUUCUUGGGAUUGUUGGGAUUUACUUGAUACGUCUUUCUUGAUUCAAAGACGGUUCCUUUUUUGUUUAGAUUCGUGGAUUGUGCGCUGUGUUUCGUCUUUGCUGGGAUUCUUUUUCUCGGUGCUUCUUGAUUUGCGAUUCUCUUCGAUCACUACGAGGUCUACGAUGCACUUCCCCUUUCUUGUUUGAUACCUGUUUGAUUCCUUUCAUUUUGUUUAGAUUCGUCGAUCAUCCCCCGUGUUUUCAUAAAAGAAACCCUUGGGUUUCUUUGGGAUUAGGGAUUUAAUCGAUAGAUGCAUUUAUCGAUUGGAUAUUCCCUUCAGAAACUGCUAGUUUAUCUUGUUUAGAUUAAAUUUUCGUUUCGUGGAUCAUAGUUCGCCCCAAAAAGGGAUUCUUUUUCUCGGUGUUUCUUGAUUUGCGAUCCUCUUCAUCACCGUACCCAGUUUGAGGUCAAAAGGAACCCUUUCUGGUUCUUUUCGGCACUUUCUUAUUUUGUCCUGAUCAAUUUCUGGCACCAAAUGGUCAAGCGAUCCGCAAGAAUUAAGGGACCUGGAGAUUUGGGGUUUCUUGACAUCUUUCUGUGACAUGUCUUUCUUGAUUGGAGAUUCAUUCACUGCUGAAUCAUUUUUUCGUGGACUAACCCUUAUAAUUUGUUCCAGCGUGGAAAUCUUUCGCCCUAUUUUUACAGUGAUGACAUCGUAGUUUAUUUUAUGCAAUCAAAAGACCAUUUUUGUAUAGCCGAGUAAUUUACUUGCUUUUAUUUUAUUGAUAAUAAACAAUAAGUGGGUACAGGGAUCAUAUUUACUGGUGUAGUUUUCAGAUCAAUCUACCAUGUUACAUGAUUAGAAAAAUAGGGGGAAAUUAGAGGUUAGUAAGAUCAUGAUAAAUUCACAUUGAAGAAAAGAGGUGCAUAAGAUAUUGUAUAAGAGAUAUCUGCUUCAACAUUUACUUCAAAAGAAAAAAAAAAGAUAUCUUUAACGGUGUUUGUUAGGAUGUGAAUGCUUAUUAAAUUGGGUAUAAUUGGGAUCACAUGUAUGAAAAAUUAUGCGAGGUGGCUAUCUUGGCAGCAUGCUGAUACCAUUAUGACUCCACAUUCACCUUUUAGCACUGUUCAUUCUUUUUCAUUAUUCUCAAUGCGUAUACUCAAUCAUUUAUCUCUGGAAUCAACUUGUCACUUAUUUUGCAUUUUUCUUUUACCAACGGGCACUUUUUUCAUCUCUCUCUCUCUCUCUCUCUGACAAGCAUUCUGCUCCAAACAUCAGUUCCAACUGAAGCCAUUCAGGUCAAAUUGUUUACAACUUGAUGCAGCUUCAUCACCUACAUAUAUUUUUAGCUCUAGUUCUGUUGCAAGACAUGGGAGUGCAAAUCCAUCUGGUUGCUGUCUAUUCUCCUGUUGAACUGCCGUGCUCUUGCUUCUUGGAUGCUCAAGAAAAUUGUUUACACCAUCUCUUUCCUUUCUUCCUACAUCAGGAACAUUUCUACUGUCUCUAUUGUCUUCUUGAGGCUUAACGCUUGCUUGUAUAAUGUUUUUGUCCCUCUGGAUUGGGAAAGAAUUCCUUUCUGAAUCUCUUAAAAUGGAUGAAGCCUUCUGCUCAUUCAGAUUAUUACACCAUGCCUGUUGAGUCUGUCCAAUCCUGGUAUGUUCUCCAAUUAUUUUCAUGCAUAAGGGAAAUUCUUCAUGUUGAGUUGUUAACCCCUGGCUGAUAACUUGCUCCUUCUCCGAUCCCUUAGAUGAGAUCAAACAACAAUCCGCCGAACAAUCAGUGAGUUGGGCCGGAGUUACCUGUAACAUAGGUUGGUUAUUAUUUCUUCCAGACUUGCAAAUGAAUUGAUGAAACAUUCACUUGAGACUUUGGAGACCAGUUCAGAGAUUUGGAUUUUGGCAACUUCCAGUCCCGCAGAACCCAAGUCCUGCUUCCUAAGAGUCUCUUGGGCCUUCUCCAGCACUGACUGCAAAUUGUGUAUUGUUUGUUAGUAUAAUGUAACAACACAUUAUACUAGGGAAAUUGGAUUUUGCACCUUUACAACACAGUAUAAUGUAACAACACAUUAUACUGUGUGUAACAACACAUUGGAUAUGCAACAACACAUUAUAAUGUAACAACACCAGAUUUGAUUUCGUUGUUCUUCUUACCUUUUUGCCCUCACUUUGCUCCUGCUGCUUGUUUCCAAUUGGAACUUCAAAUCUGUUUGUUUCUAUGCUGACAACGUAAUAUUUCUAGAGAGCUAGGACAUGUACAUAGUUAUGUCCUAUAUGUAUUCUCUUCUUGUUUAGGAAGGAGCUUGAGCUGCCUCAACUCUCCACAUUGAUGAGAGAUGCCUCCAAAGCUCUCCUUAUAUGGCAAAUGGAAAGAAAAUUUGGAAUCAGUUGAACAGAAACUCAACUAUUGAUCUAAUCUUCACAACUCGAAAAGUUAAAGCUUCAACUAGUGGUACAGCUUUAGCUUCCUUCAUGUCCAUGGAAUAAAUCCAUAAACAUUCAUUAUUAUAGUACAAUGGACCGUGGAACAAAAAUUAGGAACCUUAUGCUCUUGAGCAUAGGUUUCGUACAGAAAGGUAUACAAUCUGAUGUCUUCAGAGCUUGCAAAAUUUCCAUAUUCCUUAACUAUUUGUAGUGGCUCAGUAAGCAGAUCCCUCACAUUUGGAAACCUUAUUUUUCUGGGACCUGAAUGAACAACUUAGGUGUUUGGUCUAUGAUGCAUUGGGAUCUCAUGGAAGUCUAGAGUUGGAUAAUAUAUUUGCAGGUGGUAGAGAUUUGUCAUUCAUAGAGUUGAUUGAGGAAUUUUUGUCAGUUAUAUUAAAAAGUUUUUUUUUUUUGGAAAAGGAGUUUUAUUAGAAAGUUGAAAAUAUUGUUUGAAUGGAUGCAUCCGGAAGGAGAAUUACUCGCAUAUUUUCUGUAAAGAUGGGAAAACUCUACUGUACAUGAUGCUCUUAUGUACAUUCUGAACACAAAGUGAUGGAAUGAAAUAAGGAUUUAAUUCCCUCUUGUCUCCUCCACUAAGUAUGAUACUUAUUUGGCUGUCCCGAGGUACAAAAAAAAAAGGGAUAGAUUCUGGAAGUCGUCACUCUAAGCCAAUUGUUGAUCUGAGAUUUAUUAAUGGAAGGAGAACAGAGCAUAAAGGCAAACAUAUAUAUUCUAUUUCAUUCAUACAUCAUAGCUUGCCGAAUGGCUGGACCGCUUCAUUUCCAUCAGCAGAAGCUAGAUAACCAUGCACAACUAUUCAUGACCAAGUCAAGAUCACAAUGCAAAGGGUAACACUCUAGAUAUCCUCCUAUUAGGUAUCAAACUCCAUUACAUAGAACUGUUCUAUGAAUGCGUGAUAUGGAAUACAUUUAUGGGGAAGAAUUGACCAUCAUUUUAUCUUGUACCAGAAAAUAUUUUUUAUAGUAUCUUUUGCAGAGGCAGUUGAUCAGAGACUUACACCUCAGGUCUUUUUGUUGUUCCGGAGGUCUGCUGAAACAUUUGAUUUGCUCAUGCCUUAAAUUGGGGGUAGAAACUUUUUCUACCAUGUACAAUGUGAGAAAUCAGCUCAGGUCAUACAUAGGCAUUUAGAUAUAUAAAUUUCUAUCCAGUUGUAGACCCUUGAGUCUUGAAUGUACGUAACUGUGAGGUAUUCUUUUGUGGCUGUCAUCCCUAGAGCUUCAACUUUUUUUUCUCUGUCUCAAUGCAUUCUGAAGCAUGUCUUUUCAGGAACAUCUGGCCAAGUUCAUAUUUCCAUGGAUUGAAACAAAGAUUCUUGAUUUUUCUUGUUUUUGUUUGUAUGUAAAGACUGCUUGUUGUAGUUGUAGCUACCUCCUGCUUCUUCUAGACAGUAUUUACAAAUAACAAGAUAGCAAUCUUACAUACAGUGUCAUUCUUCUCCAUUAACUCAAGUGAGAUUAAAAGGUCCUCAUCAUUCAUAUCUAGAAUUUAUUAUUCAUGGAACGAAUAUUAUUCCCCUAGAAUGAGGAUGAGAUUGGGCAUAAAUUGUUCUCACCAUCAGAUAACCAGAAUAUAUUGCAUGUUUCAUUGAGUGGUACAUGAAAUUGUUUAAUUCUUCUGACAUUCUCCACAGGGAAUAUCUCCAACCGCCUCCCUGGUCAAAAGAAUGGCAGGAAUCAAUAAAGUUCAGAUCACUCUUUUUUCUUGAGAAUAAAAAAGAG